GCACCCAGUGAUUAUAAAAAGACGCGUUAUUCUGAGGACUUUUAUUGGAUGUCAGUUUUCUUUCUUUUCUCUGCCCUUAUUUUCACCACUUUUUUUCAUUUUCUUCUCUCCUCUGUUCUGUAACUGACAUCUGGUCCAUUGACUGCGAUUAUGAGAGAUGAGGGUGC